CCUACGGGGGGCAGCAGUGAGGAAUAUUGGUCAAUGGGCUUACGCCUGAACCAGCCAAGUCGCGUGAGGGAAGACUGCCCUAUGGGUUGUAAACCUCUUUUGUCAGGGAGCAACGCCGGCUACGUGUAGCCGGACUGAGAGUACCUGAAGAAAAAGCAUCGGGAAACUCCGUGCCAGCAGCCGCGGUAAUAGGGAGGAUGCGAGGGUUAUCCGGAUUUAUUGGGUUUAAAGGGUGCGUAGGCGGAAUGCCAAGUCAGCGGUAAAAUCGCGGGGCUCAACCUCGCUCCGCCGUUGAAACUGGCGGUCUUGAGUGGGCGAGAAGUAUGCGGAAUGCGUGGUGUAGCGGUGAAAUGCAUAGAUAUCACGCAGAACUCCGAUUGCGAAGGCAGCAUACCGGCGCCCAACUGACGCUGAAGCACGAAAGCGUGGGUAUCGAACAGGAUUAGAUACCCGAGUAGUC
rnacentral:rRNA from 1 species